GAGUGUGUAGGAGAGAUUUAUCUAAAAAAAGUGGAAACAAGGAAACACUCAAUUUAGAUAAAUCAAUAA
rnacentral:ncRNA from 1 species